GUUCUCGUGACGUGAAGAGACCUUCGCCGUGAACACCCUCGUAGUGCGUGCUGCCGAACAUGGAGCUGCUGCGGAGCCGCGCCUCCCGCCUGACGCCGUGACUGUGCGGCGUGUUCCCCGCAGUCAUGGGAGUUUCUCAUUUUUCGUGGAAGAUAUUUAAGGAAGUGCAAUGCGCCUACGACUUGGGACAGUUUUCCAGCGAGGAAGUGGCAAUGGGUGUUCCGCGACAUAUGUUCAUCAAAGAAGUACCGAAAAAGCUUUCCAUGGGCCCCUCUGCUUUCUUCGUGGGCUUUCUUUGACAAAAAAAGAGCCUGUUUCCACUGGCCCCGAGCGGCACCGGAAUCAAGAAGCCUGUUCAAGGAUAUAGCGCAAGGGCUGGAAUAGGGACUGUACACGGCUGCAAACUGUAACGAGAACAACAGAAGAAACUCCUGAAGCGGUUAUUAGAGAGAGGGGUAUGUUCACUAUUAAA